rnacentral:rRNA from 1 species
CCUACGGGAGGCAGCAGUAGGGAAUUUUCGUCAAUGGGGGGAACCCUGAACGAGCAAUGCCGCGUGAGUGAUGAAGGUCUUCGGAUCGUAAAGCUCUGUUGUAAGAGAAAAACGUGUACCAUAGGGAAUGAUGUCAUCCUGAUGGUAUCUUACCAGAAAGCCAUGGCUAACUAUGUGCCAGCAGCCUCGGUAAUACGUAGGUGGCAAGCGUUAUCCGGAAUGAUUGGGCGUAAAGCGUGCGUAGGCGGCAAAAUAAGUCUGAAGUAAAAGGCGUUGGCUCAACCCACGUAAGCUUUGGAUACUGGCAAGCUAGCGUGCAGGAGAGGUAAGUGGAAUUCCAUGUGUAGCGGUAAAAUGCGUAGAUAUAUGGAGGAACACCAGUGGCGAAGGCAGCUAACUGGCUUGUAACGGACGCUGAGGGACGAAAGCGUGGGGAGCAAAUAGGAUUAGAUACCCCUGUAGUC